UACGUAGGGGGCUAGCGUUGUCCGGAAUUAUUGGGCGUAAAGAGCGUGUAGGCGGCUCGAUAAGUCCGCUGUGAAAGUCGAGGGCUCAACCCUCGAAUGCCGGCGGAUACUGUCGAGCUAGAGUCCGGAAGAGGCGAGUGGAACUCCUGGUGUAGCGGUGAAAUGCGCAGAUAUCAGGAAGAACACCAGUGGCGAAGGCGGCUCACUGGACCGGCAUUGACGCUGAUGUGCGAAAGCGUGGGGAGCAAACAGG
rnacentral:rRNA from 1 species